ACAGGACUUAUAUUAUCAUUCCAAAAUAAAAGCAACUCAUAUUCAUUUAAUUUUUAAAUAUCUUAAAACAAACAUUGCCUGUUGUUGUAAAUAACUAGGUGACACAAAUUUCCCAAUAUAAUGCACUUGUUUCAAGAUCACCUUAGUCAGCUAUUUUGAUAUAAUUAUUUCAUUAGGUCGAAUCGUGUCAACAAUCAUAAUAAAUAAUUGGGAUUGAUUAUAGAUACGUAACGUUAUAGAUAAGUAAAGAAAGAGAUCAUUCAUUAUUCCGCAUUCAUUAUUCAACCAUCAAGGUAGUUAUAAAAUAGACUUUCGUCCACCAACUUGUAACUGAUAAUAAUUAGUAGUGUUCAAUAAAUAAAGUAUGAACAAAUA
rnacentral:lncRNA from 1 species